UGAAUUGGUUGUGUAUUAAAAAAUUAUUCUUUUCUAAACCUUAUGAAAAUCUUCAACCAUUUCAUGAAAUACAAGCAAAUAAAUAAUGUAUUGAGAUUUAAGAGAUAAGGGAUAGAAAGACAAACACAAAGUUUUUAUACUGGUUCGGUCUCGAUGCCUACAUUCAGUCUACUUUUAAUCAACCUGAGAUUGAAAGCCACUUCACUAUAUAGAUUGAGUUAUACAACAAGAAUUAUAGCGUCCCUCUC
rnacentral:lncRNA from 1 species